CGGCGUGCUUAACACAUGCAAGUCGAACGAUGAAGCCCAGCUUGCUGGGUGGAUUAGUGGCGAACGGGUGAGUAACACGUGAGCAACCUGCCCCUGACUCUGGGAUAAGCGCUGGAAACGGCGUCUAAUACUGGAUAUGUCCCGUCACCGCAUGGUGUGCGGGUGGAAAGAUUUUUCGGUUGGGGAUGGGCUCGCGGCCUAUCAGCUUGUUGGUGAGGUAAUGGCUCACCAAGGCGUCGACGGGUAGCCGGCCUGAGAGGGUGACCGGCCACACUGGGACUGAGACACGGCCCAGACUCCUACGGGAGGCAGCAGUGGGGAAUAUUGCACAAUGGGCGGAAGCCUGAUGCAGCAACGCCGCGUGAGGGAUGACGGCCUUCGGGUUGUAAACCUCUUUUAGCAGGGAAGAAGCGAAAGUGACGGUACCUGCAGAAAAAGCACCGGCUAACUACGUGCCAGCAGCCGCGGUAAUACGUAGGGUGCAAGCGUUAUCCGGAAUUAUUGGGCGUAAAGAGCUCGUAGGCGGUCUGUCGCGUCUGCUGUGAAAUUCCGAGGCUCAACCUCGGGCUUGCAGUGGGUACGGGCAGACUAGAGUGCGGUAGGGGAGAUUGGAAUUCCUGGUGUAGCGGUGGAAUGCGCAGAUAUCAGGAGGAACACCGAUGGCGAAGGCAGAUCUCUGGGCCGUAACUGACGCUGAGGAGCGAAAGGGUGGGGAGCAAACAGGCUUAGAUACCCUGGUAGUCCACCCCGUAAACGUUGGGAACUAGUUGUGGGGUCCUUUCCACGGAUUCCGUGACGCAGCUAACGCAUUAA
rnacentral:rRNA from 1 species